rnacentral:rRNA from 1 species
UUCUGACGAACCAUGAUGUCAUUUAUUUGGUGUUGUGGGGAAUCAGGACUGUUACUUUGAAAAAAUUAGAGUGUUUAAAGCAGGCUCACGCUUGAAUACAUUAGCAUGGAAUAAUGAAAUAGGACGUUUGAUUCUAUUUUGUUGGUUUCUAGGAUCGACGUAAUGAUUAAUAGGGAUAGUUGGGGGCAUUAGUAUUCAAUUGUCAGAGGUGAAAUUCUUGGAUUUAUUGAAGACUAACUACUGCGAAAGCAUUUGCCAAGGAUGUUUUCAUUAAUCAAGAACGAAAGUUAGGGGAUCGAAGACGAUCAGAUACCGUCGUAGUCUUAACCAUAAACUAUGCCGACUAGGGAUCGGAUGAUGUUAAUUUUUUAAUGACUCAUUCGGCGCCUUACG